UUUGGUAUAUUUGAACCGAGAUGGGGUUUACUCUUACAAAGUAAUAUAGAUACCCCACAUUAAUUGGUCCUUCGAGCCGGAUUCCAAUACAUCGUGACGGGAAGGAGGAGGGAAAAGACACGCCGCAAGUCUGUCGACAGCCGGGAUCAUCAGCCGACCCCGAGAAAGACCCGGGACGCAGAAUUCGUGGCCGGGCCGGUGCUUAUAUGUCCAACCUCCCUCAUCCUCGGCACGAUUGACGGAAUCCAACCGGACCAGUGACCACAGAUAACGGGACACUCGAGUGCAGACUGGUGACCAGGUCCUCGUGAAAGUGAUUAAGAGGAAGCAUUGGCACUGUCCACGGUGGGACGGUCCCUACACGGUACUGCUGACAACACCGACUGCACUAAAAAUCGCCGAAAGAACUACGUGGAUACAUCAGAGCCACUGCAAAAAGAUAAUACCUCUCCAACUUAACGACGGAUAAGUGGUGGAAGUCCGGCUACAAAGGGCGGUGUUUCAUUAGGAAAUACUGGUCUCAACCCCGGUGAAGAAAACAACAGAACCACUAUCACAACUAGACUUUGUUGGGAAAGGUGUUGUGUGUAGUGACCCUGCUGGGUCUGACGCUAAUGACUAUAAAGACACUGUAACCAGCUAGUAAUUAUGAAAAACAGGAGGGAAUGUUAGAGUUUAUUGAAGGAUAAAAAUGUGUUUUCAUAAACUGUGUUUUCAUAAUGUAUUCUCAUUUGCUGUGUUACAAAAUGUGUUGAUGGAGGAACAAAGCAUAGUCUGUUUAAAAUGACACACAUACACACACACACAGAUUCACAUGACUGAGAGACACAAGAUCCACACGAACAAAUAAGGCGUUGGUCAAGACCACAUGAUUGUCUCAUGUUACUGUAUUGUUGAAAUAAAAGGACUGCACUGAGA